rnacentral:lncRNA from 1 species
AGAUUUGAUGAAUAGGGGAAGGGAAUCACCUUUCCUUGUUACCGUAGAACACUUUCGUAGAGGGUUAAACCGAUAAUGGAGAGAGCUUGGAGUUGGAUUCUCUCAUGCCUCCAGGGAAGGUUUUUCUUUUCAACCUUACUUUCAAAACUUAGUUUUUCCAGAGACCAUAAGCCAAGGGGAGGGGAUGCACUGUUAGGAACGCAGAACCAAUAUACCCAGGUUUUGGAUACCCUUUCUUUUGGACAGAUUUGGAAACUUCACGUGCUUCGUGGCACCCCCUUAAAUAACAAAUUUGCACCAAUAUAAUAUUAGUCAUGUACCCUUAACCACUAAGGUUAUUUUAGGAAAGGGAGUUAAACCUAGAAAGGGAGUUUUAGAUUAAUUUUAUGCGAUGUAUCUAAAGGUUGUUAGAGGAGAUUUCUUUGGGCUAGAUUUGAGAAUAUCAGGAGGAGGUUUUGGGCCGUUUAAGGGUGGACCUAGGGCAACAUUAUUUAAGGGGGAAGAUCCAAUCGAGCGGGGGUGAUUUGAGGAAAAGGAACCCUAGUUUUCUCUGCUUUCAUGUAGAGUGUGAGCAAAGUGUUAGAGCAAACCAAAUCUUCCUAGUGCAUGUUCGUACGAGUGGCGCUUGUGAUAAAAGGAGGCUUGGAGACCAAACGGUUGGUAGGGAACGCAUUUGGAGGUGGCUAGGACACCAUAGGAGGCUUGGAGUUUUGGUUAAACCAGGUAAGGGGAGUGACUAUGAUAUCUUUAAUGUUUUGGAUUGUAUGAUAUACUCCGUAUGCUAGUCUUAUUCUUACGUUUCCUUUCCAUUGUGUGCACGAGGAGGGGUGAUCUUCCAUUAUGUUAUAAUUAGGGUUGGUUUUGAGGUUAUAUAUAAGUGUGUGUGUGUGGGCGUUGGUGAGAAGAAUGGAAGUAGGUUUCGGCCUAGGAAAAUACCUUCUCGGAUGAGUGCAGUAAAAUAUGGUUUUGGAGAGGGGUGAAUUCUACUAAUGAUUUGAGAAGCAUAGAUUAAUGAGUUGAGAAGUAUAGAUUGAUGAGGUUAUGGAAAAAGGAAGAGGAAAAGGAGAGUGCAUGGGUGAAAUGAUGGGUGCAAGUGGCGGGUGUGUGGACGUUUUUGAGAAAGUGUGAAAAUAUACAAGUGAGUAGAAAUGGAGUUGGAUGGGUAUAGUAGGGGUUUGGCUGUAGGUGCAGGUUGUGGUAUUCACACGAGUAGGUGUUUCCUCUUGGGUUGGUAUGAAAAGAGUAAGAGAAAGUUUGGGAAAACGUGUUCUGCGAGUUCUUAGUAGAGAGAUAAUAUAUGUUGAGUAAUGUGUUGGAUAAAGAGAAAGAUUAUAUAAGUGUGAGUGAAAUAUGGAUGAAAAUGAUAGUGAGCGUGGAGUAGUAGGAAGAGAUAGGUAUGAUGAGUGUUAAAGAGAGAGAAUGGUCUUUAGGUUUCUAGACAAGAAAAGAAGAGGAAGGAGGAGAGGUUUGCAUGCAAGUUACGUAGUUUAAACUUUGAGCGGUGGUAGUACCACGGGGGCCCAAUAAGUGAGAGAAGAAAAAUAUAGUAGGGAGGAAACUAUGGCCACAUGAAUGAGUAGUGUGGGAGUUGGUGUGUUAGGAAAUGGAUGCAGGGAGGUGGUGGCUAAUCCGUGAGAGGUUAGUUGGUGAAGUUAGGAAGGUGUGUGGGUGUUGAAAAGAUGAGAAGAAGAGUGGGGCUUAGCCUUAUGUAGUUCAGGGUUUGAUUGUAAGGGUUGCGGGAAGAGUAAAUCUUGGAGAAUAGUGGAUUAAUUAUGGAGAAGGGAGGUGAAGGGUGUAGGGGUGCGUGGAGGUUGGUGGAAGAAAAUCUUAAUAGUCUUAGGUUGUUUGAGGAAUUGUGGUUGCGUAGAUAUUGGGUUGGGUUAAAGAUGACGAGGUUUUGGGCAUAAGUGUGUAUUGGUGAUGCAGAGAAUGAGUGAAGGCAAAGUUCAAGUCUUAGUAGUUGUGAAUGGGAAGAGUGAAUAAAAGUAGAGAGCUUUGUUUUAGAGAUGAGGGAAUGGUUUGUGUGAGAUAUGUUAAGGUGUGGAGUUAAAGUGAGGGAAAGAGAAUGUUGUGCAUGUAUGUUAACGUGAUUUAGUGGAGAGAGAAUGUGAGCUUUGUGUGAUUGGUUUAAAUGGUAGGGACGAACAUGGGGCCAUUAGGUUAUGAAAGAUGAGAAAGAAUUAAAAAGGUUCGUAUGAGGGAUGAGAAUCCUUUCUCAGGAUUUACGAAAAUGAGUGGUAUAAAGGUUUGAAAAUGAAAGAAAGUGGUGUCUUUUGUCUUUUGUGGGUCUUGCGUUGAGGAGAAGUGAGGGAGUGAGAAAAGUAAGCAUAAUUGAAAGCUUGGUAAAAUGGAAUGGGGAUCAGAGAGAGGAUUUGGAAUUUGAUUGGUUUGAUUUACGAUUUGGUAAUAUGGUAGUGGGACCCGUGGGCGUAAAAUGAGAGAAAGGAGGCUAAGUAAAAGGGUAUAGAAUUUUCAGGUUUUCUUUACUUCUUUUUGGUGUGUUAGUUUCGAAACUAAACUCUCUGGUUGAGAUGAAUUUAAUAAGUAUAGUAGAAUUAUAUUACAAAUCGUAAUUGUUAAUUAGUAU